AGUGAACGCUGGCGGUAGGCCUAACACAUGCAAGUCGAACGGCAGCACAGUAAGAGCUUGCUCUUACGGGUGGCGAGUGGCGGACGGGCGAGGAAUACAUCGGAAUCUACUUUUUCGUGGGGGAUAACGUAGGGAAACUUACGCUAAUACCGCAUACGACCUACGGGUGAAAGCAGGGGAUCUUCGGACCUUGCGCGAUUGAAUGAGCCGAUGUCGGAUUAGCUAGUUGGCGGGGUAAAGGCCCACCAAGGCGACGAUCCGUAGCUGGUCUGAGAGGAUGAUCAGCCACACUGGAACUGAGACACGGUCCAGACUCCUACGGGAGGCAGCAGUGGGGAAUAUUGGACAAUGGGCGCAAGCCUGAUCCAGCCAUACCGCGUGGGUGAAGAAGGCCUUCGGGUUGUAAAGCCCUUUUGUUGGGAAAGAAAAGCAGCAGGUUAAUACCCCGCUGUUUUGACGGUACCCAAAGAAUAAGCACCGGCUAACUUCGUG
rnacentral:rRNA from 1 species